rnacentral:sRNA from 1 species
CCCGGCGUUGAAACGCCGGGCUAUUCUCGGGCAUCCCUUCGGGACG